UACGGAGGGUGCAAGCGUUAAUCGGAAUUACUGGGCGUAAAGCGCACGCAGGCGGUCUGUCAAGUCGGAUGUGAAAUCCCCGGGCUUAACCCGGGAACUGCAUUUGAAACUUUCAGUCUAGAGUCUUGUAGAGGGGGGUAGAAUUCCAGGUGUAGCGGUGAAAUGCGUAGAUAUCUGGAGGAAUACCGGUGGCGAAGGCAGCCCCCUGGACAAAGACUGACGCUCAGGUGCGAAAGCGUGGGGAGCAAACAGG
rnacentral:rRNA from 1 species